rnacentral:rRNA from 1 species
CAAUGUGAUUUCUCUGGUAAGUUUCGGCUUGUUAGGGGAGUCAACACACAGCAUUGAUCGGUGCAGCGUUACAAACUUUAGUGUUUAGUAGUAUCAAUGUUGUAUAGAGAGCAAUCUUUAUACAACUUCACAGCCUAGGAUGCAAGUCCCAUUGACUUGGGCUUAUCUUUCAAUUGAGAUGACUAUAAUAUUGGGGCAACUUGGUAUUAUGGUUGAGCCAUAGAGGGUGAAAGUCCCUUAACGUCCAGGUAUUGAUACUACGAACUAGAGAGCCAGCAAUGGCAAUUUGUUAGAGUCGGGUUGCUUGAGAGUGCAACCUAAAGAGCGAGGUAAACUGCUCGUAAGGCUAUUUGAAAUAUCGCUAUGACACCGAUAGCAAACAAGUACCGUGAGGGAAAGUUGCAAAGUACUUUGAAGAGAGAGUUAAACAGGGCGUGAAACCGCUAGCUGGUAAACGAGUGGAGCCACGAAGUCGUUUCGUAGAACAAAGCGCACAGAUUCAGUUUAUGUAAUUCCUGAAAUAUGCGAAUUGCAUAGAUGCAUUUCUGUUUGUGCUUCUAUGUAUGCGUACACUGCAACCAAUUAGACGAUCAAUUGUGGAAACAGUUAGUCGAAAUAUGCAGCAAUGUAUUUAUCAAUUAACGAAAUGUUUAUAUAUUCCAUGUAGGUAGCCUGGUAGGACACUUGUUGUUCUAUUGGGUGUCUGACGUGCGUAAUAUGAGAACUACAAUUGAAUACUGAUUGGCACAAAGAAAAUCCAUUCGCAAGAAAUGGUUUUUAGAUAAUACUACUUAUUUUGUAUAUGUGUACAAGUAUUUAUUACUGGUGUAAGCUUAGUAGUUUUAAAUUUAGACUAUCUGGCUAUCUAGGGUUUCGGCCUUGGAUGCUUGUUUAGCUUUCUAUCUAAUUGGCUGCUGACUUCACUUUUAAUUUUGUGCUUGCUAUGUUAGCAUGUAUGCAAAAAUAGGCAAGUCAUCUUAUUGGCAGUGAGUAGGUCGGCUUUCCACACGACCC